rnacentral:lncRNA from 1 species
AGGCGUAAGAGCCAUUGUUGCCAGCCCACAUAAAAGGCCACAUCGACCUAAGGCGUAAGAGCCAUUAUUUCCAGACCACAUAAAAGGUUGUAUCGACCUAAGGCAUAAGAGCCAUUGUUGCCAGACCAUAGAAAAGGUGCACCAACCCAACGCGUAAGAGCCUAAGGACCAGCUUGCAAUUCAAAAACUUGAGGGUCGAAUGAGCUCGAGUCAAAACUCGAUUUGGAGACUGAACCCAAAAUAGUUAACUGAAUAUGCCUAAGAGCAAAUGUGUAAGAGCCACUAUCUCUAUCACUAAUAUCGAAGGUCGAACCGACCAAAAGCGUAAGAGCCACUGUCGCCAGCACUAAAACCAAAGGUCGUAUCUACCAAUCGCGUAAGAGCCUACGGGCUAGCUUAAUGAGCCUCAGGGCCAUACCACGAAUCUAAGGAUUCCUUCUAACUAAAAAACUAGUUCAUAUGGCUAAAAUCAAGGCAAAAAGAAAUGCAGAAGAAAUGAAACCGCGAGGGUUUCCUUUUAUACAUACAUGCGGGAAAAUAGAAGCUCCAUUUACAACAUACUUCGAAAGUACUAUGUGUAGAAUCAGAAAAGGAAAUCUAUGUCCCCCUUGGGGACUAUGGCCCAUCGGCCUCAUCCUCAUUAUCCUCGGCGUCAGACAGAAGUGACUUAGCGCCAUGUUCGUCCGCCUUCACCCGCUUCACCUCUUUCGAGAGGUCAAAGGCCCUAGCAUGAAUCUCCUCGAAGGGUUCCGUUCGAGACUUACACCGAGUAUAUUCCUUGCUCCUUCCCUCACGGUCAAGAGUCCUUCUCAGCCCAGCUUGGGCAUCGACAUCGUCCUUCAAAUAGAUCGCCACUUUCUGGUCAGCCUUAGUUUGGCUCAUUAUAGCUUCAGCCCGAGCAUCCACAACCUCAGCCUUUAUUUUCAAGAGCUCAGACUCGAGCUUCAUAAUCAUAUCUGUUCGAACCAAGCUAUUAUCAUGAGCUAAGCGAAGUUGAACCUCAAAGGCAGAAGCUUUAGCCAGAGCACCCUUCUCCGUCGACUCCUGAGCGUCCGCCUGAGUCUUUAACUCGUCAUACUCGCACUUGGCUUGGCCAAUAUCAUCCCGAAGGCGCUCCAAGUCCUCCAUCUUUUUCUGCAACUGAAAUAAACGAAACAUUAGCCUCAGGAGCUAGAAGGAGGAACACACACUCACUCGGAACAAAAACUACCUAUUCCUUCAAGUAGCUCUCAUAAUUCAAGCUCCGACUCGCCUCAUACCGUAAGUGUGCCAAGUUGACAUCCUUUUCAUCACAAAGGAGCCUAAGGGAUUUCUCCUCAUCCAGAGCUUUCCGUAUCCUGGCCUCACGGUGAAGCAGUUCGGACUUAAACUUGUCAAAGGCCUGCAAAAGAGAACUCAAUAAGGAAGGGAAGGCGCGAAACUUGAAAGGCCUAUGCCAAAACUCACCACAGAGUGAAUCCGAUGGGCUUCCUCGAAGGUCAAGAGCACAUCUUCUAACCUUGCUCCCUCAGCUCUGAAACAGUCGACCCCGAUUGAGGCACAGUCGCUCCGUGCAUACGACCCCGAGUUUUGAGUGUCCCUCGAAGUACCUUCGAUGGAAAAAGAAGAUAACAUCAGAGGAGAAACUGCCUUUCCAAAACUAGGAAUCACAUGCACGGCAGGCUCAGUCAAUACUUCCACUCGGGGCCCCCGGUACAGGUUCGCUUGCUUUGAGUGCCGUCGCCCUACAGAGGCAUCUAUCUCUUAUUGUUAUCAUUCUUUAGCCCAGAAGCUGGAAAUCUUCCCCUCUCUCAUAAAUGGCACGACCUUGCUUUGAGGGACUCCCCAAUGCCUACGAUGACAGAGUUAGUAUGCAGAAAGAAAAUGUGCCCUUCCGAGAGGAAAAAGGGGGGGGGGGGGAGCAAAUCACAUAGCACGUACUAUGGUGUUUUGCCUCCCACCUAUCCAUAGAUAAAGCUCUCCACUUAUGCUCAUUGUAAGUCGAGUGGGUCGCCAACUUCCAAACCCAAUCCGGCAGAUCGAGAACCUCGCCUGGCAUCCACGAAAUCGCUGCAGAAAAAGAAAAGGAGGCGCAUUCACGAAGCCAACAUUCGCUAUAAACAAAACUAAGAAGGCAC